AUGAUAAGAGGAGACACAAACUGUUACGUAGCUGCUCCGGUCAAAGGUUAAGACUGUGACGGUUUUCCUGACAUACAAAUAUAUUUAGACGAAAAGAACUUAUUUCCGACUGAACAUGGUAAACCUGUACAAUAAAUUAUACUAUAAACUCUC